rnacentral:rRNA from 1 species
AUUGAACGCUGGCGGCAGGCCUAACACAUGCAAGUCGAACGAGUGGCGGACGGGUGAGUAAUGUCUGGGAAACUGCCCGAUGGAGGGGGAUAACUACUGGAAACGGUAGCUAAUAACGCAUACCAUCGGAUGUGCCCAGAUGGGAUGAGCUAGUAGGUGGGGUAACGGCUCAACUAGGCGACGAUCCCUAGCUGGUCUGAGAGGAUGACCAGCCACACUGGACCUGGACCACGGUCCAGACGCCUACGGGAGGCAGCGGUGGGGAAUAUUGCACAAGGGGGGCAAGCCUAAUGCGGCCAUGCCGCGUGGAUGAAGAAGGCCUUCGGGUUGUAAGGUACUUUCAGCGAGGAGGCGGUACUCGCAGAAGAAGCACCGGCUAACUCCGUGCCAGCAGCCGCGGUAAUAC